UGAACCAUCACUUUAAUAUUAAUUUGUAUGAUCUGACCAGCCCGAUCCGAUUAUCACUCUCUCUCUCUCCCCUUUUCUUUAUCGCUCUCUCCCCUUUUCUCUCUCUCUCUCUCUCUCUCUCUCUCUCUCUCUCUCUCUCCCUCUCUCCGCCUCUUGCUCUGGCCUCUUUGUUGACAUGCCACGGGUGAAAAGUCUUCCGCAGAGGAUACACAGUGUAUCCUCGAUUUCAACUCCUCCUCCGGGUGUCCUUGAUGCUCGAUCCUCCGUCAGCGAUGUGCAUUUUAGGUAUUGGGACAUCCUUCAACAUGACGCGCUGAGAACGAUUUCCUGGUCACAAGUGGAUCGAGGAUCGAGGAGUCGAGGAGAUACGACAGAUGGUGGAAAAUUUUCAGAGUGACAGGAUUGAAUGUUCUGACAGAGAGCGGUAAAAGAGAUGACAGAAAACACCAGCCAGCUGGCUGCACGCAGGACUUCAGAUCCGGUCAGGUCGUGGUGCUUUGUUCAGUUUGAUCCUCCUGAGCAGAGUUCAACCUCCCCAUGGCGCAGCUCCAGGUUUACCUGGUUCGAGAGAGAGCGGACAGCUGACCUCACUUUCCAUUCAUGCUGAGCCACUGUGUUUGUGUCCCAUUCUUUCAGCACAAACUUCCCGGCAAGCAAAAACUUCCCGGGAUCCUCGCC